rnacentral:rRNA from 1 species
UACGUAUGGAGCAAGCGUUAUCCGGAUUUACUGGGUGUAAAGGGAGUGUAGGUGGCCAGGCGAGUCAGAAGUGAAAGCCCGGGGCUCAACCCCGGGACUGCUUUUGAAACUGCAGGGCUAGAGUGCAGGAGGGGCAAGUGGAAUUCCUAGUGUAGCGGUGAAAUGCGUAGAUAUUAGGAGGAACACCAGUGGCGAAGGCGGCUUGCUGGACUGUAACUGACACUGAGGCUCGAAAGCGUGGGGAGCAAACAGG